rnacentral:rRNA from 1 species
CGGCACGGGUGAGUAACACGUAUCCAACCUGCCGUCUACUCUUGGACAGCCUUCUGAAAGGAAGAUUAAUACAAGAUGGCAUCAUGAGUUCACAUGUUCACAUGAUUAAAGGUAUUCCGGUAGACGAUGGGGAUGCGUUCCAUUAGAUAGUAGGCGGGGUAACGGCCCACCUAGUCAACGAUGGAUAGGGGUUCUGAGAGGAAGGUCCCCCACAUUGGAACUGAGACACGGUCCAA